rnacentral:lncRNA from 1 species
AUGUGGGCUUGCCUGCUUCUCUCUGCAGCUCUUGUGGCUGCAUCUUGUUUUCUGUAGUCCCAUGAGCUCCGAUGAGCAGGAAGGACCUCUUUGAUCUGUGAGGACUGGGGAGCAGGCUAAGUUCCCUGGGCACCCAUGUCCCGAGCACACUUGUAAGAGGCUGGACUUGGUCUUGGUCUUGGGGAGUAAGGCUUUGGAUCAUUCAGAAUGAGGCAGCAUUUGACAUCAAAGUGGUCACCUCCACAGCCGGUUUGUCCUGCUUAAUACUCAGAAGGAAGCAGAGGGACCAUCAGCCACCCGCAGAGAGCCUAUGGUCUACCUCCUAUGAAAGAAUGCACGAGCAGGUGAGAAGGAGACAAGGAACAUCAGUACACCACCUCUCACACUAGAGAUGCUCCACCUCCAACAUACUCAGCUGACUCUGCUGACUCCCUGGAUCUUCCUGAGCUGAUCCAGCCAGCUAAAGCACUUCCAUGUUCUCUGGGGUCUCAUUUUACCACCACUGAGGAAUCCUGGAAGGUUUCACCACGCCAGGUGGGCCAGAGAAGAGGGAAGACUGGUGUAGAGGGAGCCAAGAAUUCUCACUUGUUGAUGAAAGUAGGAUCCUGGGUCCUGUGAGUGUUAGAUGUCUGAUGUACCAUCCCUUGUGCAAUGGAGCCAGCCACCUUCCUAUGAAGAACAUUCAACUUGGUGAGAAGUCUCCAUGCUAUUUAGCAUUCUCUGUAAUAGAACCAACUUACAUUCUCAUCAAGAGCUAAGAGGCUUCCUGCUUGUCAGCUCUUGUCUGUGGCUGGUGCUAGGAGCUAUCUAUCCUAAAGAAAGUGUUGACACCUCACUGUGACUUUGAUUUGCAUUUUCCUGAGAUGACAGCUAGUUUUAAUGGUCAACUUGACAUAACAAAGAAUCACCUGGGAAGAGAGUCUCAAUGAGGAAUUAUUAAGAUGAGGUUGGCCUCUGGGCAUGCUUGUGAGGGAUUUUCUUAAUUGAGUUAAUUGAGGCUGAAGGUGGCAGCCUUAUUUCACGACUGGGUCCUGGGCUUUGCAAGAGUAGGGAAAGCUGGCUGAGCUCUAAGCACGCAAGCUUUCCCUACUCACUUUAGUUUCUCCCUGCUCACUGCUGAGAUGUGAGUGAAGGUUUCAAGUUCUGCCGACUCUGUCCUCCAGCGACCGACAAACUGUAACUUUGUAUCCUGAACCCUAAGAAGGAAGCCCUUUCUCUUCCAAGUUGCUAUUUGUUGACAGCUUCUUUUGAGACGAGUCUGCUUAGGAUCUCGGUCCAUUUUCCUGUGGUUCCCUGUUGAUUCCUUAUUGGGUGUCUGGCUUUUGAAUAUUUUCUCCCCUACCACAGGCUGCCUCUUUUGCUGUGCUGCACCCUUUUCUUUAACAUAAUGUCUUUUGUCCGCUUUCACUUUUGC